UCCCUGGUGGUCCAGUGGUUAGGACACUGUGCUCUCACCGCAGAGGGCCCAGGUUUAAUCCCUGGUUGGGAAG